GACAGAGGGUGCAAACGUUGUUCGGAAUUACUGGGCGUAAAGCGUGCGCAGGCGGUUCGUCGUGUCUGAUGUGAAAGCCCCGGGCUCAACCUGGGAAUGGCAUUGGAAACUGGCGGACUAGAGUGUGGCAGAGGGGGGUGGAAUUCCGCGUGUAGCAGUGAAAUGCGUAGAGAUGCGGAGGAACACCGAUGGCGAAGGCAGCCCCCUGGGCUAACACUGACGCUCAGGCACGAAAGCGUGGGGAGCAAACAGG
rnacentral:rRNA from 1 species